UGGCGGGGGGGCGAUGAUCAGCAGAUAGCGUGAUAGUCGCGGCCAUACUGUCCAGCAAUCAAGGCAGAUGCAGCUAGGAGUGCUAGUAAAAAUUUUCUUUGUGCCUUAAAUUAAAAAGCAGCCGGGGUCCCAAUACAAAGGGCCCCGGAAGAAUUUAAUUGGAGAUCUGCUGACAUCUGCGCGACUUCGACAUACCUGCCAGCCCGAAUUGGCGGCACAGCAAACGGUGUCCGUUCGACCCGUAUCAGCGACCAGCAAGAAGGGCCUUUCCCAGUCGACGACGA